UACGUAGGGUGCGAGCGUUGUCCGGAUUUAUUGGGCGUAAAGAGCGUGUAGGCGGCCUGAUAGGUCAGCUGUGAAAACUCGAGGCUCAACCUCGAGACGUCGGUUGAAACCAUCUGGCUAGAGUCCGGAAGAGGAGUGUGGAAUUCCCGGUGUAGCGGUGAAAUGCGCAGAUAUCGGGAAGAACACCAGUGGCGAAGGCGGCUAUCUGGACGGUUUCUGACGCUAAGACGCGAAAGCGUGGGGAGCAAACAGG
rnacentral:rRNA from 1 species